CACAAUCCUUAGAGCGGCUGCUGUUUUUCCUCUGCUAGGGUUUACUCCUAACCCUAAACCAGUGAGCUCAGUUACGUUUCCUAGCCUUAUCUCAGUAAUCUGCCGCUGGAGCUUCGCGUUCCGCUGUUGGAGACGCACCCCGCUCUUAGCCCUUUUUCAGAUGGGCGAAGUUCUCGUGGUCAACAAGGGAAUGGU